UUUCUGCCAGAAGGUGGAGCUCCAGGAUCCAUCCUAGUUCAGUCUCAGUUCAGUUGUUUAAAAACAGAGCAGACAUACAUUGAGUCAGUCACACUUUAGAAGAGAACUGUAAGUCUUGAUUCUCAAAGUUAUUGUCUCUCAUAAGUGCAGAUGUUGCCCCUCGUAUUCAUUACAUUUUCUCUCCUAAAAGAGACUGCUGGUGAAGAUGUCAUAAAACCAGUCUUCACACAGAUGCAUGUUUUGGCAGGAAAAGAUGUUACACUGAUCUGCAACUACACUGGAAGUGUGCAGAAUUUACAGUGGUACCGUCAGUAUCCCGGAUCCAAACCUGAGCACCUUAUUUUAAACAUUGAAUCAAUCCCCAAAUCAGAGGACGCUCUCCGUCUGACCGCUGCAGCUGAUAAAGCAACCAAAAGUAUGACUCUGACGAUCUCUUCUACAGAAGUGAAAGACUCUGCCAUGUACUACUGUGCCCUGGUGCCCACAGUGACAGGAAACACAACUACACUGUACAAAAACAGAGUGAGAAAGGAUAUUAAAGACGGAAGAUGAUGCACAAUGCAGAUUUUAAAACUACACUGUUUAUAAAGUGGACAAUCAAUUAUUACCUUUCGGAAUAGUUUCCAAACCCAUGUACAGUACAAUUGGUAGUGUCCUCACCAUUAAUAUGUACAGAUGUGAAAUGCAACAUAAAUGUUUGAAACAUUUAAUAUCUGUACAGUGCCACUGCAAUGUUUGUAUAAUAUCAGCUUAUUUAUAUACUGUCUGUACUUGUAGGGUAAAAUUACUUUCUUCUUUCAGACAAAUCCAGUCAGCAUUAUAUAAAAAAUUAUCCUGGCUCUUCCUAGCGUUAGAAUGGGAGUUGGUGGGUGUUUUUGUUCAACAGCCUAAAAGACAUCAAAUAAAGCAUGCGCAUCCAUAAUAAAACAUGCCUCACAGGGCUCCAGGGGGUGAAUAAAGGCCUCAUGUAGCGAAUCCAUGCACUUUCGUAAGAAAAAUAUCCAUAUUUAAAAUGUUAUAAACAUUUUUAUCUCACUUCCGCUGACUGUCAUACCAGCACGCCGUUCCGGGCGGAUGACGUAGGACGUAAGCGUUGCGUAUGCGCCUGUGAGAUAUUCUAGUCUCGAGAGUUCGUUUACAGGAGUAAAGGAAGCAGAGUUUCCUUACUUUACCAAAGGAAAACCAGUAUCUUCCUGGCUUAUAUCGAAAUCCUCCUACAUUUUUCUUUAAAAAUCCUUGUUUUGUGCUGUUAAUUUGUGACCAGCGCUUUGUUUUGCUGUCUCUCCUCCGCGCUUCCGUGUUGUCACUUCUCACCGGUGCAUGCGCGAUGCGUACAUCCUACAGCAUCCACCCGGCGUCACAGCUUGCACAUGUGACAAUCAGCAGAAGUGAAAAAAAAAGUG
ensembl:lncRNA